CUUGUACUCCCUCCGUCCCAUAUUAAGUGACUUUCUAUUACAUGUAUGUAGACGUAUUUUAGUAUAUAUAUACGUUCCAUAUUUAGACAAAUUUGAGUCACUUAAUAUGGGACGUAGGGAGUACUAA
rfam:Brachypodium distachyon strain Bd21 chromosome 5, whole genome shotgun sequence.